CGAACGCUGGCGGCGUACUUAACACAUACAAGUCGAACGAGGGUCGCUAUGUGAGCAAUCACGUGGUGAUUCUAGUGGCGUACGGGUGAGUAACACGUGGGCAACCUGCCCUGGAGACCGGGAUACCCUCUCGAAAGGGAGGCUAAUACCGGAUACGUUCCCCAGACCGCGAGAUCAGGGGAGGAAAGGUGGCGCAAGCUACCGCUCUUGGAGGGGCUCGCGACCUAUCAGCUAGUUGGUGAGGUGACGGCUCACCAAGGCGAUGACGGGUAGCUGGUCUGAGAGGACGACCAGCCACACGGGGACUGAGACACGGCCCCGACUCCUACGGGAGGCAGCAGUGGGGAAUUUUCCGCAAUGGGCGAAAGCCUGACGGAGUGACGCCGCGUGGGGGACGAAGGCCUUCGGGUUGUAAACCCCUGUCAGAGGGAAAGAAGGAUGCAGGCGUGAUAACCGCCGGCAUCUGACGGUACCUUCAGAGGAAGCCCCGGCCAACUCUGUGCCAGCAGCCGCGGUAAGACAGAGGGGGCAAGCGUUGCUCGGAAUUACUGGGCGUAAAGGGCGCGUAGGCGGGAGGGCAAGUCAGUCGUGAAAUCCUUCGGCUCAACCGGAGAACGUCGGCUGAUACUGCCUUUCUUGAGGGAUGCAGAGGAGACUGGAAUUCCCGGUGUAGCGGUGAAAUGUGUAGAGAUCGGGAGGAACACCGGUGGCGAAGGCGGGUCUCUGGGCAUCUCCUGACGCCGAGGCGCGAAAGCG
rnacentral:rRNA from 1 species